UAGUCCACGCCGCAAACGAUGUCUACUUGGAGGUUGUGGCCUUGAGCCGUGGCUUUCGGAGCUAACGCGUUAAGUAGACCGCCUGGGGAGUACGGUCGCAAGAUUAAAACUCAAAUGAAUUGACGGGGGCCCGCACAAGCGGUGGAGCAUGUGGUUUAAUUCGAUGCAACGCGAAGAACCUUACCUACUCUUGACAUCCAGAGAACUUAGCAGAGAUGCUUUGGUGCCUUCGGGAACUCUGAGACAGGUGCUGCAUGGCUGUCGUCAGCUCGUGUUGUGAAAUGUUGGGUUAAGUCCCGCAACGAGCGCAACCCUUAUCCUUGUUUGCCAGCGAGUAAUGUCGGGAACUCCAGGGAGACUGCCGGUGAUAAACCGGNGGAAGGUGGGGACGACGUCAAGUCAUCAUGGGCCCUUACGAGUAGGGGCUACACACGUGCUACAUUGGACGAGACAAUGAGAUGCAAAUCUGCGAAG
rnacentral:rRNA from 1 species